rnacentral:rRNA from 1 species
CCUACGGGUGGCAGCAGUGAGGACUAUUGGUCAAUGGGCGCGAGCCUGAACCAGCCAAGUAGCGUGAAGGAUGACUGCCCUACGGGUUGUACACUUCUUUUAUAAAGGAAUAAAGUGAGGAACGUGUGCCUUUUUGUAUGUACUUUAUGAAUAAGGAUCGGCUAACUCCGUGCCAGCAGCCGCGGUAAUACGGAGGAUCCGAGCGUUAUCAGGAUUUAGUGGGUUUAAAGGGAGCGUAGAUGGGUUGUUAAGUCAGUUGUGAAAGGUUGCGGCUCAACCGUACAAUUGCAAGUGAUACUGGCAGUCUUGAGUACAGUAGAGGUAGGCGGAAUUCGUGGUGUAGCGGUGAAAUGCUUAGAUAUCACGAAGAACUCCGAUUGCGAAGGCAGCUUACUAAACUGCCACUGACAUUGAUGCGCGAAAGUGUGGGUAUCAAACAGGAUUAGAUACCCUAGUAGUC